rnacentral:rRNA from 1 species
UACGGGGGGAGCAAGCGUUGUUCGGAUUUACUGGGCGUAAAGAGCUUGUAGGCGGCCAAGCAGGUCCGUUGUGAAAACUGGAGGCUUAACCUCCAGACGUCGACGGAAACCGCGUGGCUAGAGUCCGGAAGAGGAGAGUGGAAUUCCUGGUGUAGCGGUGAAAUGCGCAGAUAUCAGGAAGAACACCAAUGGCGAAGGCAGCUCUCUGGGACGGUACUGACGCUGAGACGCGAAAGCGUGGGGAGCGAACAGG